GCCUAAACUCUUGGAAGUGCCUA
rnacentral:siRNA from 1 species